UCAAAUACAAGGUGUGGUAUGGGUGUUUUCUAAUCAAUGCUUGUUUUCCUUCCCCCUCUUAGGCAAGCAUCUGAGGGAAUUCAGCUGAGCAAAUAGGUACAGUCUAGGUGAAUUAACCAGCAAAAGCUCCAUAAAGCUGAUUUGCCUUAGAGUGAAGGUCAGUUCCCUUUAGAAUAACUCCUUUCAUUCAAAUUAGAGGUGUUGGGCCUCUAAUUACAUGUACUAGUGCUGUACUUUGGAGCAGUUCCUGUACAUUUUAAUACAAAAAUCAAUACCCUGUCCUGGUUUCUUUUAACCACCAGAUGUUGGUAUAACUUGAAAGUAAGGAGGUUCAUAAUAGCAGUUAUUGUAUCACUCUGUCUCACUCAACCUUUUGAGGUGAUUGAAGGAGCUAGAAGAAUUAACACCCAAAGUUAAGAAUUUUGAUAAGGUGGUUGGUACUAAUGUUUCAGUACUUUUCCCAUUUCCUCCCAAAUAGGAAGUGUGAAUUAGCAAGUCAGUUUCAGAAGCACUGUCCUGUCUUUAUUUCAGUUACUUUGAAAGAGAGUGGAGUCACCAUGGAAAUGUGCAAAUAUGGAGUUUGCAUUUUGGUUUUAAGCCCUGAUCACAAAAUACUAAUCGUGCAAACCGGAUUCUGUGCUUCCCCCACUUCGUGUUACGUGCAUCUGGCCGCUCCUCUUUCUGAAGCCUA
rnacentral:lncRNA from 1 species